GGAAGAGAGAGAGAAAGAGAGAGGUGAAGAAGGGAGAGAGAGAGGUGAAGAAGGAAGAGAGAGAGAGAGAGGGAGAGAGGUGAAGAAGGAAGAGAGAGAGAGAGGUGAAGAAGGAAGAGAGAGAGAGAGAGAGAGAGAGAGAGAGAGAGGUGAAGAAGGAAGAGAGAGAGAGAGAGAGAGGUGAAGAAGGAAGAGAGAGAGAGGUGAAGAAGGAAGAGAGAGAGAGAGAGAGAGAGAGAGAGGGGUGAAGAAGGAAGAGAGAGAGAGAGGUGAAGAAGGAAGAGAGAGAGAGAGAGAGAGAGGUGAAGAAGGAAGAGAGAGAGAGAGAGAGAGAGGGGUGAAGAAGGAAGAGAGAGAGAGAGAGAGAGAGAGAGAGGUGAAGAAGGAAGAGAGAGAGAGAGAGAGGUGAAGAAGGAAGAGAGAGAGAGAGAGAGAGAGAGAGAGAGAGAGGUGAAGAAGGAAGAGAGAGAGAGAGGGAGAGAGGUGAAGAAGGAAGAUAGAGAGAGAGAGAGAGAGGUGAAGAAGGAAGAGAGAGAGAGAGGUGAAGAAGGAAGAGAGAGAGAGAGAGAGAGGUGAAGAAGGGAGAGAGAGAGAGAGGUGAAGAAGGAAGAGAGAGAGAGAGAGAGACGGGUGAAGAAGGAAGAGAGAGAGAGAGGUGAAGAAGGAAGAGAGAGAGAGGUAAAGAAGGAAGAGAGAGAGAGAGAAAGAGAGGUGAAGAAGGAAGAGAGAGAGAGAGAGGUGAAGAAGAGAGAGAGAGAGAGAGGUGAAGAAGGAAGAGAGAGAGAGAGGUGAAGAAGGAAGAGAGAGAGAGUGAGAAAGGGGUGAAGAGAGAGAGAGAGAGAGGGGUGAAGAAGGAAGAGAGAGAGAGAGAGACGGGUGAAGAAGGAAGAGAGAGAGAGAGGUGAAGAAGGAAGAGAGAGAGAGGUAAAGAAGGAAGAGAGAGAGAGAGAAAGAGAGGUGAAGAAGGAAGAGAGAGAGAGAGAGGUGAAGAAGAGAGAGAGAG
rnacentral:lncRNA from 1 species